AUACGGAGGAUCCGAGCGUUAUCCGGAUUUAUUGGGUUUAAAGGGUGCGCAGGCGGGAGAUUAAGUCGGCGGUGAAAUUUUUCAGCUCAACUGUAAAAGUGCCUUCGAAACUGGUUUCCUUGAGUGUAGAUGAAGUAGGCGGAAUUUGUGGUGUAGCGGUGAAAUGCAUAGAUAUCACGAGGAACUCCGAUUGCGCAGGCAGCUUACUAAACUACUACUGACGCUCGGGCACGAAGGCGUGGGGAUCAAACAGGAUUAGAUACCCUGGUAGUCCACGCAGUAAACGAUGAUUACUAGCUGUUUGCGAUACAAUGUAAGCGGCUGAGCGAAAGCGUUAAGUAAUCCACCUGGGGAGUACGUUCGCAAGAAUGAAACUCAAAGGAAUUGACGGGG
rnacentral:rRNA from 1 species